AUUGCCAGCUUUUCUCUUGGUAGAGAUUUUACGUAGUCAUCGUCCUGACGUUAAAGUUCCGUGUCUGCCGCUCAUCAGAAGGUGAAGUUGGUCUUCCGGAGUGACCACUUCUCCGUGCUCUAAGCGGCCAGUGGAGGCGCGCUGGUGUCACCAUCUCAUUUGGAUACCACUUUCCCAAGUUCCAGUCCAUCACUCUAUUGUCAGGCCUGUCACUCCAGGCAUAUUGCUCUGGGAUUACCCAUUCCUGACUCUGCGUGCUGACCAACGCCUUGGGACAACAGGAGAACCCGAGACGGGGUGCUUAAUAAACAGCAAGUUCUCUUCUCAUCCUCAAGCAAGCUGAAGAAAUGAGGAAUAGAAAGGAGAGU
rnacentral:lncRNA from 1 species